rnacentral:rRNA from 1 species
CUCUCGGCAACGGAUAUCUAGGUCUCGCAUCGAUGAAGAACGUAGCGAAAUGCGAUACUUGGUGUGAAUUGCAGAAUCCCGCGAAUCAUCGAGUUUUUGAACGCAAGUUGCGCCCGAAGCCAUUCGCCGAGGGCACGUCUGCCUGGGCGUCACGCACCGUUGC